AGAGCGAACGCUGGCGGCAGGCCUAAUACAUGCAAGUCGAACGGACCCUUCGGGGUUAGUGGCGGACGGGUGAGUAACACGUGGGAACGUGCCCUUUGGUUCGGAACAACUCAGGGAAACUUGAGCUAAUACCGAAUGUGCCCCCUCCUUUGAUUAGGGGGGUGGGAAAGAUUUAUCGCCAUUGGAGCGGCCCGCGUCUGAUUAGCUAGUUGGUGGGGUAAAGGCCCACCAAGGCUACGAUCAGUAGCUGGUCUGAGAGGAUGAUCAGCCACACUGGGACUGAGACACGGCCCAGACUCCUACGGGAGGCAGCAGUAGGGAAUCUUGCGCAAUGGGCGAAAGCCUGACGCAGCCAUGCCGCGUGAAUGAUGAAGGUCUUAGGAUUGUAAAAUUCUUUCAGCGGGACGAUAAUGACGGUACCCGCAGAAGAAGCCCCGGCUAACUUCGUGCCAGCAGCCGC
rnacentral:rRNA from 1 species